UGAACGCUAGCGGGAGGCCUAACACAUGCAAGCCGAGCGGUAUUUGUUCUUCGGAACAGAGAGAGCGGCGCACGGGUGCGGAACACGUGUGCAACCUGCCUUUAUCUGGGGGAUAGCCUUUCGAAAGGAAGAUUAAUACCCCAUAAUAUAUUGAGUGGCAUCAUUUGAUAUUGAAAACUCCGGUGGAUAGAGAUGGGCACGCGCAAGAUUAGAUAGUUGGUGAGGUAACGGCUCACCAAGUCAAUGAUCUUUAGGGGGCCUGAGAGGGUGAUCCCCCACACUGGUACUGAGACACGGACCAGACUCCUACGGGAGGCAGCAGUGAGGAAUAUUGGACAAUGGGUUAGCGCCUGAUCCAGCCAUCCCGCGUGAGGGACGACGGCCCUAUGGGUUGUAAACUUCUUUUGUAUAGGGAUAAACCUACUCUCGUGAGAGUAGCUGAAGGUACUAUACGAAUAAGCACCGGCUAACUCCGUG
rnacentral:rRNA from 1 species